UAAAAAAUACAAUCAUUCGUCGUUACCACGAAUCUCUUUUCCAAAUCAGUAUUUCAAAAAAAAGUUGGAAAAAAAAGAAAAAAAAAUUAAACACUUAUUAAUCGAACUCGUGUUGUCAUUGUUUAAUCACAAACCAGCUGGUAAUUGCCUUAAUUCCACUUUCAAAUCACACAUUCGCUUAAUUGUCUUUCAAAAUUUUUGCUUUGAUAAUCUUAUGACUUUAAGUCAAAAAAAAAGAAUAAAUGGUAGUAAAUAAUGUGAAGAGAAAACGGAACCUUGAAAAAGUUUUGCAAAUGGCAAGGAGGAGGAAAAUAUAUUGUGGACAAACUAUUAGUUUCUAAUCCAACCUUUAAUAUUGAGACACAAAGUUUAAGCAUUGCCUCAUUGAUCUGAUGCCUGCAUCAGAAAGCUCUUUUUAAGCAUUAGAGGAUCUAUUAACAACGGUGAAUCCUCCCAUACGAAUUGGCUCUUGAUUUUUUGGAGGUAAAAUAGGCGAAGUGGUGGGUUCAGAAACAGGUUCUUCAUCUACUUCCUUCUGCCCUUUUUCUAUCUCAUCUAUCUGAUUUUUAUCACUAACAGUGUCUUGUUCUUGAUCUUUAUCCUUUUGCUUUUCUUUAGCUUUCUCUUUCUCUAGUUUUGCUGAAUUUUGCGCACUUCGUCGACGUCUUGCUUCUCUGGCCUUCUCACGCGCUGCAAGCAAUCCUUCAUGAUAAGGUUUCUUCUCUUCUUCGGUCAAAUUAUUCCAUGUAUCUUCAAGAGUUUUCUUCAAAGCUUGUCCCUUCAAGGUAGAGCCUUCGGCCUUUAAUUUUGGUUUUUGAAU